GACGAACGCUGGCGGCGUGCUUAACACAUGCAAGUCGAACGGAAAGGCCCUGCUUUUGUGGGGUGCUCGAGUGGCGAACGGGUGAGUAACACGUGAGUAACCUGCCCUUGACUUUGGGAUAACUUCAGGAAACUGGGGCUAAUACCGGAUAGGAGCUCCUGCUGCAUGGUGGGGGUUGGAAAGUUUCGGCGGUUGGGGAUGGACUCGCGGCUUAUCAGCUUGUUGGUGGGGUAGUGGCUUACCAAGGCUUUGACGGGUAGCCGGCCUGAGAGGGUGACCGGCCAAAUUGGGACGGGAAUACGGCCCAGACCCCGACGGGGGGGAGCAGUGGGGAAUUUUGCAAAAGGGGGGGAAGCCUGAUGCAGAACCGCCGGGGGGGGGAGGCCGGCCUUCGGGGUGUAAACCGCUUUCCCCUGUGACGAAGGGGGAGUGGCGGUAAUGGGUAAAGAAGCACCGGCUAACUACGU
rnacentral:rRNA from 1 species